AAAAAAAAGAUUUUACUGGGCUUAUGCAUGAUAAUUUGAUUCAGAAUUAUUUAAAAGUAAUUGAUUGUGCCUUUUAUUACACCUUGAGUAAAUGAGUGACAUUGUGAUUGGUUUAAAUUAACACGUGGUGACCCCUAUGGAUCCAUAUGGGGUCAGUAGAUUUCAUAGAGGAUUCACGAUGACACUCCUACUAUUUUUAUACAACACUUGGAAGGAAAGUCCAUUGCGAUAAAUUCUGCAUGCAGUUAACGACUGACCCCUUAAGGACCCAUAGAGGUAAAGUAAAAAUGGAAUUUAUCAAACUCUUUGGAUCCAUAUGGGGUCAGUAGCAAGCCAUAUAACUUUAAUUAUAAAAUCAAUGGCACAGAUGUUAUUAGCCCAUUGCAAAAGAAUGUUUAAGCACACCUUGACAGAGAGUUGAAAUUGAAACUAAAUAAGAAUUAAUUUGGCAAUCAAAGUAAAGGGUGUGCUUUUACUUUUUAAAAUACUUGACCACCCA
rnacentral:lncRNA from 1 species